rnacentral:rRNA from 1 species
UACGUAGGGUGCAAGCGUUGUCCGGAAUUAUUGGGCGUAAAGAGCUCGUAGGCGGUCUGUCGCGUCGGCUGUGAAAACUCGAGGCUCAACCUCGAGACGUCGGUUGAAACCAUCUGGCUAGAGUCCGGAAGAGGAGAGUGGAAUUCCUGGUGUAGCGGUGAAAUGCGCAGAUAUCAGGAAGAACACCCGUGGCGAAGGCGGCUCUCUGGGACGGUACUGACGCUGAGACGCGAAAGCGUGGGGAGCGAACAGG